rnacentral:rRNA from 1 species
UACGGGGGGGGCAAGCGUUGUUCGGAAUUACUGGGCGUAAAGGGCUCGUAGGCGGCCAACUAAGUCAGACGUGAAAUCCCUCGGCUUAACCGAGGAACUGCGUCUGAUACUGGAUGGCUUGAGAUUGAAAGAGGGAUGCGGAAUUCCAGGUGUAGCGGUGAAAUGCGUAGAUAUCUGGAGGAACACCGGUGGCGAAGGCGGCAUCCUGGACCAACACUGACGCUGAGUGAGCGAAAGCCAGGGGAGCAAACGGG